AUCUAUAGCCAUACUACCCUCAACCUACCUGAUCUCAGAAGCAAAGCAGGGUCGGGCCUAGUUAGUGCUUGGACAGGAGCAGUUU
ensembl:rRNA 5S_rRNA 5S ribosomal RNA